rnacentral:lncRNA from 1 species
AUCGGCAUCGCCAUCCUAGUAUAAGAAAUAGAAAUAUAGUUAAAUGGAAGAGAGGUGAUGCAUACAUCAAACAAUAUUUUCAGCAAUGAAUGCAUAAUUUAAAAUAUAUAUAUAAGUUCCAGAUUAUUUAGUUCUUAUGAUGCACUUGUCAUUCUGUUACUAAUAUUUUCAGCAAUCCAUGUGAACCAUUGCUCAGUUCUUUGGCAAACCACAACAUUGUAAUGCGGUGUGAUCAAAUUAUAUUUUGGCAUCACUAUUUUUUCUUUCUAAUCCAUGCGAACAUUGCCAUCAGUUGUGUUUGUAAAUGACUAGUAUUCCUCUGAACUAAAUAAAUGUGUCAAUAAGAAAAAAUAAAUAAGCAAUAAUCCAUUUCGGGGUAAUAUAGGGAGUUGUUGAUAUAGGAAACUACAAACAGAAAAACGGCUUCAUCAGGACGAUAUGAAUUAAACUUCAAACGGUGAGCAAUUUAUGAGAACAUAUCUCCCUCUGAUUUAUGAAAUUAUUCUUUCUUAUAAUUGGGGCAUCUGUCCAAUAAUUUCUCUCCAACCGGUGUACAGUAACUAUGGGGCGAAAUUUCUACAUACUAAAGGUUUUGUAUGCCCUAAACCUGACAUGAUGCUUGCUCCAAUAUGCCAUCUCUACCUGGAUGAUACAAUAAAUGAUGUGCUUGUGAGUAUAAUAAAUUGCCUACUCAUCAGGCCAGUGUAAGGUAGGUUGGAUUGUAGGCUGAGAAGUACCAAACCGAGGAAGACCAGAGUUGGGCAAGGCUAAAGAUUGAGGAAUACCAUGAGGAUGUAGCAUAUAAGAAUGCAUCCGAGCCAUCUGCCCAGGAGGAACAAAACCAUUAGUCCUAAUAGUGAUGGAACAAUAGGUACAACAUUAGCAUUAUUUCCCUCAAGAAAUAUAACCAAAGUGCGCUUGGGAACUAUUCAUAAGGAAUAAAAUAGAACAAUCAACACAACCAAUAUGAUAAUCUAAGCAUAAAAGGACCAUAUAUAUGAGUUGCAUUCCUCUAUGUAACACUACAAACUCAAAAUGCAGCAAACAAUCUGAUGAUCAUAAUAGCAUAUGUGCAAUUUAAGGCUUUCACUCGUUUGAACAAAUGAGACAUCAAACAAGUAUACAGAAUUUAUUUCUCUAUCCAGCAACUCAGCCCAGCCUGCACACAUAUGGGAUAAAUCAAAAGAAUCACAUAUUCAUGUUUCUCAAUACAGCAAGGCAGCAACUAGGCAAGUAAUCCCAAAUUCCAAAGUACCAACAAAUAUUUAUGAGCAGAAAACAGAACGCUACAUCAGUGCAACCAUUACCAAUAUUGGAUUGCAUAUCAAAACGAAUGAUAGCCACAUGGGCAACAAAAAAAUUCAGUUUCAUAAGUUUGUGGACAUUGUCAAGAGGACAGUUCAGUUCAUGGUGCCAAGAACAAGAAUGGUGGGAGGGGUCAAAACAUUAAACGUUCAGGAAGAUCAUCAUCCUUCGUUGCCAUGUUAGUCUGCAUUACGCAAGAUGAUUGUUACUCCCUCCGUCCCAAAAUAUACAAUAUUUUUCCUCCGAGCGUAACGAAAUUUUUGACGUUUCCACUUUUGCCCUGGCGACCGAUUCCACUCCUCUCGUCUCGGGACUCCCACUCCUCUCGCGUUCCUCUCUCCGACAGCCCCAAAUCCCUAGCUCACCCACUCCUCCCUAGUGUCGUUGCUGCCGCCUCCCACUCGCCGGCAUCGUUGAGCCUCCCUCUAGCCGGUGUCUCCUCUCCCAUUCCCCUCGCUCACCUACUCCCCUCCAAAGAUGGCGUCGUCCCCUCUGCCCGUCUGGUGUCCUCGCCUAUCUUCCAAAGAUUGCUUUUUUUUACUCCAACGCAUCUGAAGCGGUGAUGGGUACUUGUGCGGAGGCGGCGGAGGCAGCGGCGGCGCUGUAUCUAAAGAGGGCACCAUAGCAGCAAUGGCAGCAUUGGAUCUGAAGCGGUUGACGGCACCGUUGCGGCGGGAGGAGCAAUUAUGGCGAGCACUACCACGACGGUGAGUCCUUGUGUUUGUACUCUGUACUGAUGCUGCUACUUAAGUGAUGCUGCGACAGAGUGGUUCUGCUCCGAUGAUGCUACUGUAUUUCUGCUCUAGUGAUGGUGUUGUAGUAGUAGUUCUGCUCUAGUGAUGUUGCUGCUUUAGAUCUUGUGAAGUUAUGAUGGAGCUCAAGUCUAGUAAAGUUCUUGUGAUGGAGUAAACAUCACUGAAUUUUGCUUGCAGUGUUGUUCACUGAAUUUUCCUUGCAGUUUUGUUCACUGAAUUUUGCAUGUGAACUUUUGGCUGCUCCUUGUGAUGUUUACUAAAUUUUACUCCAUUAACAUAUGCUUGUAGUGAUGUGCAGGUAGUAAAGUUUUACUGAGCUCACUAAAGCUUGUGCUUGUGCUUCAGAUCUGCUUUUUUGCUUGUGAGGAACAAAGGGAACAAAAGGAGUACUGCUCUAGUGAUGCUCUACUGACUUGCUGUACAUUUGUGGGAAUAACUUGAUUUCUUCUUGUACAUUUUCAGUUAAAAGAUGUUUGGUGUAUGCUUGCUUGUUGUACAUGAUGGAGGAUUAUUGGAGUAAUUUGAGUAAGCAUUUUUUCUGUUUGCGUUGUUGCAGUCCAAGACGAUUGAUCGAUGCAGCUGCUACCUGCUGCUGCUGUAUGCACCAUGUCUGAAGAAGACCCCUCUGUGGACCGAACUCUCUGGAGUACUGUAAGCAUGCACACUCUGUUAUGAAUGGAAUGAAAUUGUUUAUGUGAAGUGUUAUUUUUCUUGCUCCUGUAGUAGUAGUUCUUCAUUUGAAGUGUGAGUUGUACUCCUACUUGUUCAUGUGAUUGUUUUGCUUGUUCAUAUGGAAUGGAAUUUGUUCUUCAUGGAGUACAACAGGAGUGGUAGUCUCAAGUCAAAUUGGUUGUUCAUGUGUUGCUGUUGAUGCAACUGUUGUUCUCCAACUGGAGUAGUUUUAACUUCUGGUAGAGUAGUUAAAACAUGAUGUAGUAAAUUGUAAAACUUCAGUUAGAGUAGUUAAAACAUGUUGUACUACUUGUAGUAGCAGUGGUGGUCAUCUAGUUAAAAAAAUUGUACUUGGAGUAGCAGUGGUGGUCAUCUAGUUAAAACGUGUUGUUUGUUGUACUUGGAGUAUUAGAUGGAGUAUAAUGCUCUAUAGGAUUUCUUUUCUUUUAGGAUUCCUUUUUCUUUUACUCCUCUCCUCUCUCUUCUCUCCUCUCUACUCCUUUCUUCUCUGGACUUGUUGUACUAUUAGGAUUUCUUUUACUUUAGGGUUUCUCUCCUCUGUCUUCUCUCCUCUCCUCUCUCUUCUCUCCACACAAAGUUCCUAAGGAUUACUCAUAGGAAUAUAUAAUUUCAUUCUCUCCUCCCCUCUCCUCUCUCUUGUCUCCUCUUCUCUUCUUCCCUUGUCUCCUCUCCACACAACUUUGAAAAAUUCACAAAGUUCUUGUUUACUCCACACACAAAAUUCAGAAACAAUUUUAAGAAAUCCACAAUGAUGCCUACAAGAAAUCCACAAUGAUGCAUACAAACAUAUGGAUCACAUAACAAGUCUCUCAUCAAGCCUCUCAUCAGAAGGAGUACAAACAUAUGGAUCACAUCACAAGCAUCUCAUCACAAGGAGUACAAACAUAUGGAUCACAUCACAAGCAUCUCAUCAUCCAGCCUCUCAUCACAAGCAUCUCACCAUCCAGCCUCUCAUCACAAGCCUCAGUGUUCAUCUUGUUCUAGAUUCUCUAAGGCAUUGUAGUACACUUCACAUGGGAAAUGGAUCCUAGGAAGUAGAAUUCCAUCUCUUUCAAAUCUUUGUUUGGUGACGUGUGGAAUUUUGUAAGCAUUUCCUCCUGCAUGAUUCAUGACUUCAACCAUACAUGUUUGGAGUGUUAGGAAGAUUCUGUUGAGUUUUCCAACUUCAUAGUCAUCGAAUUCUUCUUCUACACCUUGAGUUAGUUCGGGGAUGGUGGUAGGGGCUCUGCAGUCCGUUAGAGACUCUAGGGAUUUGAAGUACCCAAGGUCAAGAGCGUUCAAGUCAGGAGAAUUUGGGGGUUGUUGCACUAGUUUGAUGUCCAUACCGGUCUCAGCCAUUGCUUCUGCAAACUCAACAUCAUUAGGUAAAAUAUGUGUCCUUGCAUUGUCCUGUUGGAUGAGGACUGUUUGUCCAACAUCUCCAAAGGGCCACACAUCUUUUAUUGCAGGAACAACUUUCUCAAUCAUGUAUCAUCUCAUGACUUCUCUGUUCACCAUGAGUGACUUGAAUUCUAUGACACCUCGUUCUUUAUUUUCACUCCUUCUUUAUGUCACAACUGUUGUGACGAAAGGCCAAACCCCAAUCUUUCCUGAGAAUGUGACAUUCCCGUCAGCGUCGUAUCUGGGCCUUGCAACUGCUGUGAGAAACAUCACCUUUCCAAUCUUGUUUGGAACUGGCCUUACUGGGUCUUCUUCAUCUGGCAUUAGGUAGUAGUUUAUGUUCCUUUUUGUCAUGAGAAACCAUUUCUCAUCAAUAUGCACAAUAUUAUGCAUAGUGUUGAAGCAAAUUCUUUCAUUCUGCAGGGUUGUCUGGUCCAGCAUCGACAUGCAAAAUCGAACCCUUUCUCUCUUAUUCUUCUCUUUCAAAGGCGGCUUCACCCUGUUGGAGUGCCUCCUUAUCAUUAAGCUGGAAUUUCCUGUGGAGUGUGGAGCGGCUGACACCCAAUGCAGCAGCAAGUGAUCAUAUGCUUGACCUUCUGUGUAGUGGAACUGCUGAGAUUUGUGAUAGAAAGCCAUCAACCACUUUUGUGCCGCAUCUUUCUGGUUGACACAUCCACCUGUUGACCAAGAGCAAUCUGUUUCUUUGCUAUCUUCCAAAUUCUUUUAAUGAGUUGGAUGUCUACUUGAAACAAUGCAGCCACGUCCUGCUUAUCGUUCCCUUUCAAAUCUCCACCUCUCUUAAUACUUAGCGCUUGCAUUGCCAUAUAAGCAGCAUAUCUCUUCUCAUUUGUUAGUGAUUUUCUCUUCCUCCGUAUUUGUUGAACACCUACAGUAGCAAUGCAACAAGAAAAUUAGAGAAAUUGUGCACUUGGAGAACAUGGAUGAAUAUAAAUUCAGUAAAAUCCACUUGGCUGAAUUUGAAUGCACUUAAGCGCAUAUAUAUCUUCAGUUAAGUGCAUUCAAAUUCAGUUAAGUCCAUUUAAAUCCACUUGACCAAAUUUGAAUGCACUUAAGCACAUAUAUAUUCAGUUAAGUGGAUUCUAAACUUAUUGCAGACUUGUGGUACAUAUAGUGUAAUUAAGUUCAUUUUAAUUCAUUUAAGUAGUAUGUAAAUACAUAUUCAGUUAAGAAUAUGUAUAUUCAAUUUACCUGCUUCUCCCACUGCUUCUCCCAUAGCUUGAUCCUCUUCUUCUCCCACUGCUUCUCCCAUAGCUUGAUCCUCCUCUUCUCCAACAACAUGUUCCUCUUCUCCUCCCACAUCUUCAUCCACAUCUUCUGGUGGAGAAAAGUUUAGGUCAAAGUUCAUGUUCCAAAUUCAGAGUUUGGAGCUGGAGCUGGAGUACAAGAAGCAAACAUAUUAAGAAUUUUGGAAUAAAAGUAAAUUGUUGGAGUACAAGUAAUUGGAGUAUGAACAUUUAAAUGGAGUAAACUUUUGCUUGAUGUCAAUUUAAAUUCAGAAUUGCUACAAAUUGCAGUCAAUUUAAGUGCAUAGGUUUGCAAUCAAUUUACCAUUGGAGUAGGAGUAAAUAUUGGUUUGUCUAGGUUUGUGCUAAGUGGUUGUUUUCUGUAAAUUAACAACAUGAACCAUGUCAAAUUCAGUUAAUUAUUGUACUGCAUUGGUUUCUUUAAUGUUGCGAUUCUUUAAUUCUCUGUUCUUUGAAAUCAUCAGGACUCCUGAUCAAUUAAGAUCAUGCAAUCUGUUUUCUCUGUUUGCUCUACUAUAUUCUCUGUGUAAAGUGAAAUACUAAGUCAUUCUCUGAAUAACGCCACUUGCUGCCACUAUAUUCUCUAUAAUUCUGAUUAAAUCAUCAGCUUGUGAGGUGAGGCACUAAAACUCUUGUGACAACAAGUCACCCAUACUUGAGGUGAGGCACCCAUCAGCUUGUGAUAACAACAAGUCACGCAUCAUAAUUGUGUGUACAUAAGUGUUUGGUGAGAGUGGCUCUACAAAUCAUAACAAGAAGUAUUCCAAGUAGUUCAGCUCAGAUGCAUCAUAAUUGUUCAUAUCAUAAUUGUACUACUGAAAAUUGUUUGGAUCAUUAUUGUUCUGCUGAUAUCUACUGAUUUUUUCCAUUAACACUGAUUUUUCAAUUAACAAUAUUCAGUUAACACUGAUUGUUGUAGCUGCUGUAAUCAGUUUAUUCCAGUUGAUAUGUACCUUGUCCUUGUAAUCACUUGUUAAAACUUGUUGUUAUGUUCAGUUUGAAGUAUAUCUGGCAGCUGUUAUUGAUCUGUACCUUGUCUCUGCAAUCAAUUGUUAAAUCUUGCUUCUGUUGGUCAAUUUGAAGUGAAUCUUACUGCUGUUGUUGAUCUAUACCUUGUCUCACAGUAUUGCAUUUCAAAUUUCUGUUUCCUGGAUUAAAAUUUCAAUUUCCUGCAAACAAUUUAAUCAGUAUUGCAAUUCAAAUUUCAGUUUCACUUCAAAUUUCCUGGAGUAUUGUACUGAUCUCUAUCUUGUUUGUCGGCUUCUCUGUUGAUCUGGAGCCUCGAGAUUCUCUACUUCUCGUUUGAUCUGGAGCUUCUCUGCUUCUCUACUUCCUGCAAUCUUCUCUGAUGCUUCUCUAAUGAUCUUCUUUGUUGAUUUUGUUGCAGCCUGGAUCUUCUGGCCAAGGAGGAGCACAGCGAGUAGCAGCCUGGGCACUGACUAGGAGGCGUUGGGGCCUGGGCGAGCCUGGGAGGAGGCGUUGGGGCCUAGGCGAGGAGGCGCUAGGCGCAGCGAGCCUGGGAGAGGAGCCGAUGGGCGUAGCGAGCUGGAGGCGCUGGGUCGAGGAACUGCUGGUGCUGGGCGAUGGCGACGUGCAGGAGCUGCUGGUGCUGGGCGACGGUGACGUGCAGGAGCUGCUAGGAGAUGCGCCUGGAGCUCGUGGGCGUUGGGCGCUGGGUGCGGCGAGGCGGCAAGCGCUACGCGUGGGGAAGAACCGAGGGCAUGGUGCCAUGGUCUCGUGGGUGCCUAGUGCCAUGGACGCGUGGGUGAUUUUGAAUUUGAAUUUCUGAGAAGGAUUGAGGAAGACGAUCGCGGGGAAGACGAUCGCAGGGGUAGAAACGUCCUUCUGACAGAAAUCGGUGCUGUCGGAAUUUUGAAAAUGCUCCUACAUUUCAGGACGGAGUGAUUGAGUGUUGGGGACACUAUCAUUUGAAGCACAAGAGCAAGGAGUUCAUCAUGAACAACACCAUCUAUUACCUUUUGCAAAGUGGUGUCUCUUAGAUUGGUUAGGUGUCACUUGGGAGCCUCCAAGAUAUUGUGGAGUUGAAUCAAGGAGUUUGUAAGGGCAAGCAGAUCGCCUACUUCAUGAGAAUCUACCCGAGUGAGGCUAGUACUUCGUGGGCGUAAGCCAUGAUGGAAAAGACAAGGUUGAUUCUUCAUGGGUGGAGCCCUCCAUAGACUCGCGCAAAUGUUACCCUCUAUGGGUUGAAGUCGCCAUCAAUGUGGAUUUACGAUAGCACCACCUAUCGGAACCAUGACAAAAAUCAUCGUAUCCUCAUUGUGUUUGAUAUCUCCGAUCUCUCCUUUACAUUCAUAUGCAAAGUCUUUACUUUCCGCUGCUCAACUCUUAGACUUGCAUGUGUAGGGUGUGCUUGACUUGGUAGAAUUGCUAAAGCUUGCCUACCACUAAAAUUGGGAAAAAGAUAAGUUUUUAUUACGUCAAGUAGUCUAAUAACCCCCUCCCCCCUCUAGAUAUACUUUCGAUCCUACACGACCCGCAUAUGCGCCGCUCUGCUGCUAUAUGUAUGGGGCCAGGGGGCUUGUAGGGUUAGCAAACCAGAUCCCCUUCGUCACGAAACGUCUACUCCACCGCUAGGUUUAGAAUACUCCAGCGAGCAAUUAGCCGCAUCUCUCCUCUCCUUUUUCGCCAUCAACGGAAGAUCCAUGGCAAGUGGAUCUAGCUGUGGUGGUCAUGCCAACGCUGGCAGAGGCCGAGGUGGGAACGGGGGCACGACUGACAAGUGACGCCACUAUGACAUCAAGCAAGCAAGCUCGAGCCAUGCCAUCGUGACGCAAUCCAGCUCAAACAAUGAGGACGACAACAGGGGCGCAAGUGGAGGUCGAGGCAGGCUCAGGAGCGCGCCCAGCAAGCAAUGCCACCACGACGCCAAGCAAGCGAGCUCAAGCCGCACCGUCGUGACGCUUUUCAACUCAAGCAAUGACAGCAACAAAGGGUGGCGCCGGUGGAGGUCGAUGUAGGCUCGGGAGCGCGGUUGGCUCUGCCGGUGUGGCGGCCGGGGGUGUAGGGUGGGUUUGAUGUGCGAUGAGCACAUCUUCCCCCACAUCCAGUGGUGCCGCACCAUGGAUGAAGAGCUCCUUGCCGACGAGCGUGUGGUAGCGGCCGACGAAGAAGGGGCUCCCGCCCACCUCGAAGACUCCAAGAACAACAAGAACAAGCACCAGCUCGAAGUGGCACUGUGGAAAUCCGCCAUGAAGUUUUACCUCGGCAUCGUCGAGUGAGUUAUGGUUCAGUUUUUAUUAUUACUAGAUGACCCGUUGCACCAAUGGCGCAAAGGGCGUGAGCAAAUCAGGCUUUCAGACCAUGCAAGAUGGGAUAUUUAUACAACGUUCAUAAAAUCAACCUGUUGCAUCCCUGGAACAAAAAGCGAGAGCGAACUGAGCAUUCAAACCAUGCAAGAGUAGUUUAGAUAUUGAUAAUAGAAUCCUUGAAGCAUAAGGACAUAGAUACUUAGGUAUUUCAUGGUAGCAUGAUAGGCCAAAAAAUUAUUUGGCCAGUUCAUGAUAGCUUAUUUGCAUUGGUUUUAUAUUAGAAAGCAAGCUAUAUAGGUAGUAUCAUACAGAUAGCCCUAGUUUGGUUUCUCAGCUUGUGGUUGAUCUUUGUAGAUCCUGCUUGUAGGCAAAACCAAGACAUGCACUUGUUUCCAUAGGUACAUCGCUGCAUGUUGCAUCUGUAUCGAACAUGACCUUAUUCUCUAACCAACUCUUCAUGGCUAGGUGUUUUCGGUGGGCUGUCGUUGUUGAAAACACAUAUGCUUUCCAUGCACUGAAACUCAUCGUUGAAGCACAAAUCUGUAGAAUGUCCCCUAAAUAUAUAGUUGCACUGUCAAGGUGUUCUACAACCUACUUUACUUGCGAGAAAGUAUGGUUAUCAUUGUCUUCGGGUGUUGAUCAUUCGCUGAGUUGCAAUAAUAUUAAGUGGAAGCCUCAAAUAAUGAAAGAAUACCUUGUUUAACUAAAAGCGUUGCUGAUUGGAGGGGAAACAUUAUGAAGUAUACUUUGUAGUAGUUUGAUAUAAUCUAAUAAAUCAAAUAAAUCUAUAGUCACUUUUGUAGAAGCUUAGAAGUAAUAUAAGAUUACCUGACAUCGGACAAUGAUUGAAAAUUCUUAACUAAUGUACUGUGUUAAAGAGAGAAAAGGCAUGUGCCUACACGAAAGAAUAAAUUAUAGUGGAUAUUUGCUAUAAAUAUUCUAUUACACAAAUGGCAUGCAUAUAGUCACGCCUGAAUAUAGUUUUAACACUAGUGUAGAUGACGAGCACAGCUUGGAUCGCCUGCGGAGAUGAAGCGUUGCCAUUGCAAUCGGCAUCAAGCACCAUAGGGUGUGCAAUCAGCAACAAGCACGCAACAAGUACCAUAGGAAAGUAGUCUGCAAUAUGAAGAGUGAAACUGAGAGUAUGAAAAAAAUACCGACGUUUAGAUGGAUAGGAAUGCAAAAUAAAUGUUGGGUGGACCAUUUUUCUUAUCAAGGACAAUCACAUGGGACUUACUACUGCGCUUUCUUGUUUCCUCCAGCUGCUUUCCCACCACUAUUGUUCCUUAAGUUCCAGACACCCAUGUUUAGCGAAAGAGGAUCAUUGUACCUGUUUACUUCAUAGCAUAAAUAAACAAGCGAUGGGAAGAACAACCCGUCUUUGAUUUUAGGUGGGUGAAAGGAUCACUGCCAUCCUCAGUAGCAGCCAGAGAAGCAUCGGCAUCGACAUCCUAGUAUAAGAUAUAGCAAUCUAGUUAAAUGGAAGAGAGGUGAUGCAUACAUCAAACAAUAUUUUCAGCAAUGAAUGCAUAAUUUAAAAUAUAUAUAUAUAAGUUCCAGAUUAUUUAGUUCUUAUGAUGCACUUGUCAUUCUGUUACUAAUAUUUUCAGCAAUCCAUGUGAACCAUUGCUCAGUUCUUUGGCAAACCACAACAUUGUAAUGCGGUGUGAUCAAAUUAUAUUUUGGCAUCACUAUUUUUUCUUUCUAAUCCAUGCGAACAUUGCCAUCAGUUGUGUUUGUAAAUGACUGGUAUUCCUCUGAACUAAAUAAAUGUGUCAAUAAGAAAAAAUAAAUAAGCAAUAAUCCAUUUUUGGGGUAAUAUAGGGAGUUGUUGAUAUAGGAAACUACAAACAGAAAAACGGCUUCAUCAGGACAAUAUGUAUUAAACCUUCAAACGGUGAGCAAUUUAUGAGAGCAUAUCUCCCUCUGAUUUAUGAAAUUAUUCUUUCUUAUAAUUAGGGCAUCUGUCCAAUAAUUUCUCUCCAGCCGGUGUACAGUAACUAUGGGGCGAAAUUUCUACAUACUAAAGGUUUUGUAUGCCCUAAACCUGACAUGAUGCUUGCUCCAAUAUGCCAUCUCUACCUGGAUGAUACAAUAA